rnacentral:rRNA from 1 species
UUCUACGGCCAUACUACGCUGAUCGCGCCCAAUCUCAUCUGAUCUCGGAAGCUAAGCAGGGUUGGACCUCAUUAGUACUUGGAUGGGAGAAAUCCCAAGACUGACAAGUGAAGUAUUAA